GCUUUAUAUAAAAUGUAAUCAACAAUUUGCUUUAAGCUUCUUCGACUUAGUUUUGCUUUUCCUUUCCUUUAAGUUAGUUAUCACUGUUGGGGGGUGAUAGGAGGAGGGUGGAUUAUUCUAUAAUUUUAUUACAAGGAUCAAGACACGCAUUUUCCUAAAGAACUGAAACAACCCUUUUCUAUUUAGUUUUCUAUUUAAAGAAGUACCUCUAAAAUCCAAUUUUCGGAUCUAUGAACACUGCACUAACAAGUGCCUUUACCACUGUAAUUCAAAAUGUACAAGCUAUUGAGGAAGGAGGGGAAGUUGAAAAAUUUGGUUUUGGUUUCGAAUCCCUUUGGCAGUUGGAAUAUCAUGUACACGAAUUACGCACCAAAAGCUCAUUACUCUAAAAUAUAAAAUUACUCUAAAAUAUAUAAAAUAUAUUACUCCUCCCUCCAGCCCCUUCACAAUCGAAAGAAACGACUACUGGACCCAUGACAACUUGGGCGUUGUAGGUUCAAUCUGAUUUCUCAAACCUCUUGACUAAACGCACUAGCGUUCAAUAUUUAAUUUUAAUGUGUGCGCACCAACCUUCCCCAAGCCAGCUGAGCUCCGUGAGGGCGGGGACUUGGAUUAACUCAAGUCAGCUGCUUACAAAAUGCCAAGCAAGAUGCUCAACACAGCAGGCUCACGAUAAAGACAAGUACGAAGGGUUUCUCUGCAAUCACUAAUACUAAAUUUUGAUCUAAACAAAAUCAGCCUCUUUAUAAUACCAGUUCAGGUUCCUACUCACCUUGUACCUACGCAACGAACUCCAAACUUUUUUGGAAAUUUACUCACCCGCGCUCUACAGAGAAACUAGGAAGAAACCCGACCGGCGCGCACGUGACGUCACACGCACGCUGGCCGCUCAGCCUCACGCAUGCGUACGCGGUCGGCAGGGAUAUACUGCGGGUCACUCCCGCGCCCGCGGAGGAUAAACUGGGUGACGGUGCCCAGGCCUCCGUGCCCUUGGAAGUUUCACGGACUACGUAGAGGGAAGCAUUCAGUGUUACACCAUCUUUCCUUUUCCCUCCCAACCCUGUAUGUACCUGUGCAUAGAGCAGCCGGGCAAGAGUCUGAGCUCAGGAGCUGUCCAUUUCAGGAAAACUAUGGAAGUGGAAAAGUCAGCAUCACAGAGUCCCCUUGAUGAAAACUGAAGGUAUUUUGUCCAUUUUUC
rnacentral:lncRNA from 1 species